AAAUAACUGAUGCAAGCCCCUCCAGUGCUGCUCCAGUUGGAGUAUGAUGCAACACUUGGCCUUUGGGCUCUGAAGACGAUGUUUCAUCUGUUUCUGCUCCUGUGAGGGAUGGGCUGACAUUGCAGAUGGUGUCAGAUGGACACCCUCUUGUAGCCAUGCAGACAGUCCCAGGUCAGCAUCUGAAGCAGUUCCUGGAUGAAGUGGGACCUAUUCCUGGAAACACCUUGUCUGGUGUAAAACUCAACAGGAAAUAAGUGGAUGAUGAUGACUUCCACAAAGUGAAAGAUAAACUAAUCAAUGGCUUCUGUGACGACCUCACCACGCGGUUUGGCAACCUUGAUUAGGGUGUCUUGAAGGCCGCUGCCACCAUAUUUGACCUAGGCAACUGGCCUGAAGACAUCACUGACCUGGCCGAUGUUGAGACUUUUGUCAGUCACUUUCAGAAAACUGAUGGGUUACAGGGAGCUUUGUGGAACACUGUAUUCACGAACAGUCAAUCUAAGUAACAAAACUUUUGAAAAAGCCAAAUGAACUCAGAUCUGUCAUUUUUGUAGAACUCAAUUAUUUUCAACUAUUUUUUCAACUAUUUUAAUGCAACCACAAUAGUGGUUGCAUUAAAAAUCAAUAUGAAAAGGAAAUAUGUCCUUAUGUUGUGUUUUCACCACCAUUGGUAGGUUGAAUUCUCAUCACGAGUGAA